UACAGGGGGGGCAAGCGUUGUUCGGAAUUACUGGGCGUAAAGGGCUCGUAGGCGGCCAACUAAGUCACACGUGAAAUCCCCAGGCUUAACCUGGGAACUGCGUGUGAUACUGGAUGGCUUGAAUCCGGGAGAGGGAUGCGGAAUUCCAGGUGUAGCGGUGAAAUGCGUAGAUAUCUGGAAGAACACCCGUGGCUAAGGCGGCUCUCUAGUACGGUACUGACGCUGAGACGCGAAAGCGUGGGGAGCGAACAGG
rnacentral:rRNA from 1 species